UACAGAGGUCUCGAGCGUUGUUCGGAUUCAUUGGGCGUAAAGGGCGCGUAGGCGGCGGGGUAAGUCUGGUGUGAAAUCUCGGAGCUCAACUCCGAAAUUGCACUGGAUACUGCUCUGCUAGAGGGCUGGAGAGGAGAUCGGAAUUCACGGUGUAGCAGUGAAAUGCGUAGAUAUCGUGAGGAAGACCAGUUGCGAAGGCGGAUCUCUGGGCAGUUCCUGACACUGAGGCACGAAGGCCAGGGGAGCAAACGGG
rnacentral:rRNA from 1 species